AUCUAACCAGAUACUUCUGUGGGGUUUUCUGUGAGAAGCGUGCUCACACAUGUGUGUGAGUUUGCUGAAUGGACCCCAUGGCAUUUCUUGUUAAAAUGGGAGAAUGCGGAGAGGAGCACAGAGGAACGAACAUCAGGCUUGGGUGGGAAAAAGCCCACGGAGGCUGAGCAGGGUUGGCUCAAGGAGAAACCUUUGGCAUCUGCAGAGUUAUUAGGGCAUGGAAUUUUAGCCCUGCUGUAUAAAAGAGGAGACUGAGAAAGAGCUGUUAAAUAACUUUGUGAGGAAUCAAAGCUAUCUGGACUGACCAAACAGCUAUUGUUAACACCCCUGUUACAGAUGUGGAAACAGAGACCUACAGAAAAGUUG
rnacentral:lncRNA from 1 species